GAGAAUUUUGACGGCUCGUCGACAUCAGCGCAGGCGGCGCAAAAAAGAGAAUCGGCGGCUCCGCGCUGAGUCUCUCCUCCGGCAAACAACGCCGAAUACCGAAGGAGAUUGGAGAGAAGAAGUAUACAGUUGUAUAAAAUUGUAUAAUUUAAUGCAAAAUUGAAAAAUUUACAAAAAUUUAUUGAUGCACAUUAACGAUAUACCAGCUCAUGUUAGAGCUAAAGUUUUACAAAUAUCGCAUCACAGCGGCGUCUCAAUUGAAAAUGCCGGUGUUCCUUUUGACUCGCUUCACUUCCAUGAUUGGUUAUAUGGCAUUGAAAGAAAUGAUAUUUCUUGACAUCGAUGUUCACAAUUACAUGAGAUACCGCCAAGAAUUAACAGAAUGUAAAUAGAAGAAAAAGAAGAGCCCUUUUACUAAUUGUAACGAAAACUCCCUCAAAACGGCUAGUUUAAAUACGCCUGCCAGCGAAUCAUUGAAGCGUUUAACAAGCUCGGCAGCCGAACCGCAGCAGAAGCGAGACGGAAACUUAGCAGGUGCUACUGCUGAGAAUAAUGUGACCGAAUUAGUUAAUCACAUCUGCGAAGAGAUUGUUCCCCUACAUUUUAGAGAUUUGUAAAUAUCCAUUUAAAUAUCGUGAACCAACGUUACAGCAAUCACCCUCUUUGGCUCUUGUACGUUUUAUGUGCGUCUGUGAGUCUUAUAUGCCUUUCUUGAUGAAUAUUUUCAAUCAUACCAAAAUCAAAAGCAGCAUUGUGAUCGGCCUAUCUGCUCUGACAUUUCGCUUUCCUAAUAUUAUUGAACCGUGGAUUGGACAUUUUUUUUCGACACUACAUGAUGAAAACACAGUGUUGCGUUUCACGGCAGUGAAAAUUAUAUUCCAGUUAUUUGAUUAGCAGAAUUAUUGCAACUGUUUCAAUUUAUAUCUCUGCAAAAGUUAUUAUAAAUCCAUGGUUGCUUUUCCUUUGUUCAGUACCAUCAGCGGUGGCACUUGUGUCUCAAUUACAUAUCGGAUCGGUAGCUAAAGCAAAAUCCCGAGCUUUAAGAAUGGUUUUGAAUGAAGUCAGCUUAUGUGCUCGCAUGGUGAUUGGCAAUGUUUUAACUAGCUACAUAUAUGAGGCCACUUAUGCAAUUACGGUGUUCAGCAUAUCAAGUACUUUACUGUUUUUAGCACUGUUAUAUCUUUAUGCAUUUGUGGUGGAAAGUCUGAAGCCAAAACAAAUUAUGACAGCGGGCAAUGUAAAUUUCAAAUCAAUUAUAAUCCUUUUUACGUAAGUUAUUAUUCUAAUGUUUUAAAUUU